CAUGGAGGGUGAGAAUCCCGUUCAUGGUUAAUCUUAAGGAAGCUCUACGAUACGUUUUCCAAGAGUCGAGUUGUUUGGGAUUGCAGCUCAAAAUGGGAGGUAAAUUUCUCCUAAGGCUAAAUAUUGGCGAGAGACCGAUAGCGAACAAGUACCGUGAGGGAAAGAUGAAAAGAACUUUGAAAAGAGAGUUAAACAGUACGUGAAAUUGUUGAAAGGGAAACGAUUGAAGUCAGUCAUACCAACGGGAAAUCAACCUUUUGAGCUCGGUCUCGUGGGUUUUGAAGAGUUUCAAAGCCUUCGGAUUCGCGGGAUUGGGAUCUCUUGGUGUACUUUUUCGUACGGUUAGUCAACAUCGGUUUUGAAUGUCAUAAAAUGACUGGAGGAAUGUAGCUUCGAUCUCGUAUUGAAGUGUUAUAGCCUUUGGUAGAUGUGAUGUUUGGGACCGAGGAUUGCAACGGAUACCCUUCAGGGCUAUUCGUCUGAUCUCUGAUACGUUGCCCUGAUGUUGAAAGCUUGCUUAUGAUGUUAGGGUAUUACGGUCAAAAGGUUAGAACGAAUUACAUUCGUUAAGGAUGUUGACGUAAUGG
rnacentral:rRNA from 1 species